UGAGUCGGCCAGACAGUCGCUGCCAGAUUUAUCUGGGGGAGGAAAGUCCGGGCUCCACAGGGUAAGGUGCCAGGUAACGCCUGGGGGGCGGAAGUCCACGGAAAGUGCAACAGAAAAUAUACCGCCUGUCUCUGACAGGUAAGGGUGAAAUGGUGCGGUAAGAGCGCACCGCGUAACUGGUAACAGUUGCGGCACGGCAAACCCCACCUGGAGCAAGGCCAAAUAGGGUUCCAUAUGGUGUGACCCGCAUCGGAACCGGGUAGGCUGCUUGAAUGUACUGGUAACGGUGCGUCUAGAUGAAUGGCUGUCCACGACAGAACCCGGCUUAUCGGCCGACUCAGCAA
rnacentral:RNase_P_RNA from 2 species